rnacentral:lncRNA from 1 species
AAUGUUUUGGGCUAGGUUGGGCCGAAUUAGGUUUUGGUUUAUUUGGGCUAUUGGCUGGUGGGUAUUAGGCUUAGUGAGUUUGGGUUUUAAUUGGGUUUGGUAUAAUUUUGGGCCUUUAAUUUUUGGCUUGUAACUGGACAUUUUUGGACAUUUAAUUAUUUUUUGGUUUUCAUUUUUUAUAUUUUUAUUUUAUUUUUUUAUAUUUUGUUUAUUUAUUUGAUUUGGGCCGGGAAAAAUUAGGGUAUUACACUUCAAAUUCAUCAUUUAAAAUCUAAAGUCACAAGGAUUCAUCAAUGAAAAAAUUCAAAAUCUUUAACAGUUUCAAAAGCGAAGGUACUGGCUAGCUGGACCUAGUUGCAACGAUAUCAAAAACAUAAAAAUAUUGAGAAACAGGUUCAAAAUGGACUUACAUGCAAAAAUCUUUC